UUUUUUUAUCAAAGAAAACCUUUCUGGAGUGUUUUUCACGGCUUCCUUUACAUUAUUUCAUCAUAUGGCACGUUUUUACAACAUGUUGAAAACUUGCAUUUUUUUUCGACAUAGUAUAGUAAGGCAUUUUUUUUGCGCCAAAAUUCAUGAUGAUUUUUUUUUUCAAAGAAAACCUUUCUGGAGUGUUUUUCACGGCCUCCUUUACAUUAUUUCAUCAUAUGGCACGUUUUUACAACAUGUUUGAAAAAUCGCAUUUUUUUUCGACAUAGUAUACUAUGGCGUUUUUUUGCGCCAAAAUUCAUGAUGAUUUUUUUUUUUCAAAGAAAACCUUUCUGGAGUGUUUUUCACGGCCUCCUUUACAUUAUUUCAUCAUAUGGCACGUUUUUACAACAUGUUGAAAAAUUGCAUUAUUUUUUUCGACAUAGUAUACUAUGGCGUUUUUUUUGCGCCAAAAUUCAUGAUGAUUUUUUUUUUCAAAGAAAACCUUUCUGGAGUGUUUUUCACUGCCUCCUUUACAUUAUUUCAUCAUAUGGCACGUUUUUACAACAUGUUUGAAAAAAUCGCAUUUUUUUUCGACAUAGUAUAGUAAGGCGUUUUUUUUGCGCCAAAAUUCAUGAUGAUUUUUUUUUCAAAGAAAACCUUUCUGGAGUGUUUUUCACGGCCUCCUUUACAUUAUUUCAUCAUAUGGCACGUUUUUAUAAAAUGUUGAAAAAUGACAUUUUUCGACAUAGUAUACUAUGGCGUUUUUUUGCGCCAAAAUUCAUGAUGAUUUUUUUUCAAAGAAAACCUUUCCGGAGUGUUUUUCAUGGCCUCCUUUACAUUAUUCAUCAUAUGGUACGUUUUUACAACAUGUUGAAAAAUUGCAUUUUUUUUUUCGACAUAGUAUACUAUGGCGUUUUUUUGCGCCAAAAUUCAUGAUUAUUUUUUUUUUCAAAGAAAACCUUUCCGGAGUGUUUUUCACGGCCUCCUUUACAUUAUUUCAUCAUAUGGCACGUUUUUAUAACAUGUUGAAAAGUGACAUUUUUUUUCGACAUAGUAUACUAUGGCGUUUUUUUGCGCCAAAAUUCAUGAUGAUUUUUUUUUUAUCAAAGAAAACCUUUCUGGAGUGUUUUUCACGGCUUCCUUUACAUUAUUUCAUCAUAUGGCACGUUUUUACAACAUGUUGAAAAGUGACAUUUUUUUUUCGACAUAGUAUAGUAAGGCGUUUUUUUUGCGCCAAAAUUCAUGAUGAUUUUUUUUUCAAAGAAAACCUUUCUGGAGUGUUUUUCACGGCCUCCUUUACAUUAUUUCAUCAUAUGGCACGUUUUUACAACAUGUUGAAAAUUUGCAUUAUUUUUUUCGACAUAGUAUACUAUGGCGUUUUUUUGCGCCAAAACUCAUGAUGUUUUUUUUUUUUUUUAAAGAAAACCUUUCUGGAGUGUUUUUCACGGCCUCCUUUACAUUAUUUCAUCAUAUGGCACGUUUUUACAACAUGUUUGAAAAAUCGCAUUUUUUUUCGACAUAGUAUAGUAAGGCGUUUUUU
ensembl:lncRNA